UCUGGUGGUAAUAGCGAAGAGGUCACACCUGUUCCCAUGCCGAACACAGUAGUUAAGCUCUUCAGCGCCGAUGGUAGUUGGGUUCGCCCUGUGAGAGUAGGACGCUGCCAGGC
rnacentral:rRNA from 1 species